AGAUUUUGUAUGAUGAUGAUGAAAUAGAGCUCUUGAAUCUGAUAAAAGAAAAAUUGAAACUGUUUCAUGAUGAGCAGUCUCCACAAAAACAAGUAACCGGUCAUUCAUCUCCAUCCAGAGAGCUUACCAAGACUAAAGAAAACAAAAGAAGAAAAGCAGACACGUUGAAGAAACAGCAACAGCAUGCUGCCUCUUCAUCUAAA